CGUACACUCCUACGGGAGGCAGCAGUGGGGAAUUUUGGACAAUGGGCGAAAGCCUGAUCCAGCCAUGCCGCGUGCAGGAUGAAGGCCUUCGGGUUGUAAACUGCUUUUGUACGGAACGAAACGGCCUUUUCUAAUAAAGAGGGCUAAUGACGGUACCGUAAGAAUAAGCACCGGCUAACUACGUGCCAGCAGCCGCGGUAAUACGUAGGGUGCAAGCGUUAAUCGGAAUUACUGGGCGUAAAGCGUGCGCAGGCGGUUAUGUAAGACAGUUGUGAAAUCCCCGGGCUCAACCUGGGAACUGCAUCUGUGACUGCAUAGCUAGAGUACGGUAGAGGGGGAUGGAAUUCCGCGUGUAGCAGUGAAAUGCGUAGAUAUGCGGAGGAACACCGAUGGCGAAGGCAAUCCCCUGGACCUGUACUGACGCUCAUGCACGAAAGCGUGGGGAGCAAACAGGAUUAGAUACCUUAGUAGUCCCAUG
rnacentral:rRNA from 1 species